AGUGGCAGACGGGUGAGUAUCGCGUGGGUGACCUACCUUCGAGUGGGGGACAACCCCUGGAAACGGGGGCUAAUACCGCAUAACAUCCCGCUCUUGGACGAGCGGUGAUCAAAGCUGGGGAUCGCAAGACCUGGCGCUUGUUGAGGGGCCCGCGUCCGAUUAGCUUGUUGGUGAGGUAACGGCUCACCAAGGCUCCGAUCGGUAGCCGGCCUGAGAGGGCGGACGGCCACACUGGGACUGAGACACGGCCCAGACUCUUACGGGAGGCAGCAGUAAGGAAUUGUUCGCAAUGGGCGAAAGCCUGACGACGCAAUGCCGCGUGGAGGACGAAGAUCUUCGGGUCGUAAACUCCUGUCGAGCGGGAAGAACAGUGCACGGGUUAAUACCCCGUGCGCCUGACGGUACCGCUAAAGGAAGCCCCGGCUAACUCCGUGCCAGCAGCCGCGGUAAUACGGGGGGGGCGAGCGU
rnacentral:rRNA from 1 species